UCAAUGAAAUUUAAAUAGCCGCAACACAUUUGUGCUAAGGUAGCAUAAUAAUUUGUCUUUUAAUUAAAGACUAGAACAAAAGAUUUAACAUUUUCAUUUCUUUCUUAAUAAUAUAUAUUAAAAUUAUCUUAAAUAUAAAAAGAUAUUUAUUAAACAAAAAGACGACAAGACCCUAUUGAACUUAACUAAAGUUUAACUGGGGCAGUUAAUUAAAUAUUAUUUUAAUUAAUAAUUUACAAACACCUAAUACAAUUAAAUUCAUCAAGUUACCAUAGGGAUAACAGCGUAAUAAUUUUUUAUAGCUCUUAUUUAAAAAAUAAUUUGCGACCUCGAUGUUGAAUUAAUAAUCUAUUAAAUGCAAUAAUUUAAUAAGAAAGUC
rnacentral:rRNA from 1 species